UUGAUCACAGCAGCUCAGGGCGCUGCCAGCCGAACGCGCUCCGGCCAUUUUAUCCCUCCGCCUCUCCACAGCUCCCGCCGCUUGGAGUCGGGCAGCCGGUGCUCAGUCAAGCGUGACAAGGGAGGUUUCCCUGGAGGUGCCGCGGAGGAGCCAGGUCCAUACAUGGAGACUGCUGUCUCUGGACGAUGGGGAGCUAAGAAAAAUAUGCUGAAAAGGCAACUUCUGUUAGUCUGCCGGCGAUUGUUUCCUCUUAGCCGCCGGCGAGCAAACAUACCUGGCAAACUCUUCCACUGGGAGUGCCGCCGCGACACGAUGAUGUCCGUCACCCAGCUCUGGAAAGCCAGAAAACAACGGGGUCUGGUGUGCCUGCAAUGGAUUCUGGGCCAUUUGAGUACAUCCCUCCCCAUUCGUAAACUUAAAAUGCUUCAUACCCUAGACAAGAUAUUGGUGAAGAUAUAAAUGUAAAAAAUCUGGUUGUUCAAACUAGGUUUAUGGUCUAUCCAUGUUAGAAAACAUUUUAGCUGGUCUCGAUGUCGGCAUAACUUCGACUGAUCGGAAAAUCAAUAGUGAUAGAAUGGCAAGCGCCGAUUUUUUGGUGCCAUUUUCUUAAGAAAUGGCUGUACAGGAGAAGUUCCCGAGGAUUCUGGCGGCUGUAACAUUUUUAGGAUACCUAACAUUUCACAGCCAGUUUUUCUUGUGACAAAAUGUGUAAUAAUGCCUUCAGUGUGAUUAGACUUUUUAUGCCCCCGUUGAUUUCAGUUCAGCUUUAAAUGCAGGCACAAAUGCUCGUGAACUGUCAAAUUAGCAUAAUCAUUUUCUGACGUCUGAAGUAAAAAAAUUUUUUUAAAAAAAAGCAACAUUGUCGAACUGCCAGUGUACUUUUGAAACAAUUUAAUAGCUUUAUCUACUAUGUUGAAGGCACAUGUGAUUAUUCACUUUUGGGCACUCUAGUUAUAGUUCACCUUUUUGUGGUUUAUUAAUAUUAAAUAUUAAUAAAGAUUUUUUUUCUUUUUUAUUGUGCACUGUUAAAAGGAAGUGUAUUGAAACUCCACAACUGGUGUUUUGAAAAAUAUUACAUGUACUUUGUAUUUUAAUCAAACUGAGACGGGGGGCAUCUAUCUGCCUGAACUCCUCUGACUCCUUGCUCACAAGAAGGCCCUGAGAGAUAGGAUCUAAUGUACUCCCCUCUCCCCCGUCCUGUGUGUGUGUGAGAAAGGGGCAGUUAGACAAAAAAAGAAUGGAAAAGUACAACAGGCUGCCUUGAAUGUCUUUGCAAGUAAAGGUGGUUUGCUCAAAGUGCAUGAGCCACUGUUGAAUCUCAGGCUUGUUGAGAUUCACUUCAGAGACUGCCUUGAAGUGCUCUGAACUGUUCUCUUCUAUUUGAUCAAAUAUAAUAAAGAAUUCAUUCUGUGUGAGUAACUUGAA